UCUAAAGCACUUGCCGUUAGGUCUCCUUAGGUGACGAACGGUGUGUACAUCGAAUAAACUUCUAGUAAUACUCCUAGCCUUUCCAACAGAAAAUCUGAGUUUAGCGCCGAAACUAUGAACCUGUAGGUCUUCAGAAACUUAAUUACAACCAAACAGAAGAAAAGAGACACAUUUUGAGUUGCAUUGUCAGCUAUUUACAGUUCUGAUGUUAAUUGCUAGUUGUACAAACCAUCUUCGCAAUCAAAAUCUUCCAUGAGGCUUCAUCUUAAUAACACGGUAUUACACUGCAGGCUCUUGUACGAAUGCUUACUACUGCCCCUUCCAUGGUUGGUCUAGUUGGACAGGAUCAAUAGCUCAAGGGACAUGCGGACGUCAGAGCCGUUACCGCGACUACAAUCAACACACCAGGUAUGAUGUGCGAGAAGGCAAUUGUAACGGCAUCCCGAGCUCGUGUGGAUCAAGGCAGUACAACUACAGGGAUUGGUGCUCGUGCAAGUAUGUAUCAUGCUCACUGGGGUCGUGGAGUUCCUGGGCUGAUCUGCCCUCACCUGUCAGUGCAAGUCACUGCGCCUCUCAGCAGCGUACCCGGAGCUAUGCACUGACUUGGUUAUACACCGACAGACAGGACAAUUGUAACGGUGUGGGACCGCAGACAUGCGCAUCUCCUCAGACUGAAACUAGAGAAAAGAUCGUCACUUGUACUGCGCUGCCAAAUCCGGCCCAUGGAAGCUGGGACCGAGAUGACUGUCGAGCCAACUCCCAAACGUGUCCUUCUAUUUGUCUACUUCGGUGUGACACCGUUAAUGGUUUUCAGCUGGAAGGACCAGACAGCCGCGAGUGUCUAGCGACUGGUCAGUGGUCUACGCCAUGGAGUUCAUAUUGUAAAGGUG